rnacentral:rRNA from 1 species
CCUACGGGGGGCUGCAGUGGGGAAUAUUGGACAAUGGGCGCAAGCCUGAUCCAGCAAUACCGCGUGUGUGAAGAAGGCCUUAGGGUUGUAAAGCACUUUCAAUGGGGAGGAAAACCUACCGGUCAAUACCCGGUAGCUUGACAUUACCUGUAGAAGAAGCACCGGCUCACUCCGUGCCAGCAGCCGCGGUAAUACGGAGGGGGCAAGCGUUAAUCGGAGUGUCUGGGCGUAGAGCGUGAAGUCACAUGUGAAAGCCCCGGGCGUAAGCUGGGAACUGCAUUUGAAACUGGCGGACUAGAGUUGAGUAGAGGGGAGUGGAAUUUCAGGUGUAGCGGUGAAAUGCGUAGAUAUCUGAAGGAACACCAGUGGCGAAGGCGACUCCCUGGACUCAAACUGACGCUGAGGUACGAAAGCGUGGGUAGCAAACAGGAUUAGAUACCCUUGUAGUC